AGGACGCAGAUUUGCAUGGAGGCCACACCCUCCUCUGAGGCAGAGGAGAUAACACAGGGCUGGGGCAGGCCCAGAGCUGGGGUCUCAGGAGGCAGCGCUCUCGGGACGUCUCCACCAUGGCCUGGGCUCUGCUCCUCCUCACCCUCCUCACUCAGGGCACAGGGUCCUGGGCUCAGUCUGCCCUGACUCAGCCUCCCUCUGUGUCUGGGUCUCCUGGACAGUCGGUCACCAUCUCCUGCACUGGAACCAGCAGUGACGUUGGUGGUUAUAACUAUGUCUCCUGGUACCAACAGCACCCAGGCACAGCCCUCAAACUCGUGAUUUAUGAUGUCAGUAAUCGGCCCUCAGGGGUCUCUGAUCGCUUCUCUGGCUCCAAGUCUGGCAACACGGCCUCCCUGACCAUCUCUGGGCUUCAGGCUGAGGACGAGGCUGAUUAUUACUGCAGCUCAUAUUCAAGCAGCUACUAUCUCCACAGUGGUCCAAGUUCAUGGGGAAAUGAGACCAAAACCUGCCCUGGGCUCUCGGGUUCCCUUUUUGUUCUGAAGAUGCUUCCUCAACUGGUGCAAGCGGCUUCCUGUAGCACGGUCUUCACAAUUCUCAGCUCCUCUCCUUCCCCACUAUGAAGUCCAAAAGAAAACUUGCGCUGUGGUUUCUCUUCUGGGACAGUGACAGUUUCCUGAUGAUUGUGUGCUGUAGUCCCUGAAUUGCAACUCUUCUCAGCUCUUCAAAUGCAGGG